rnacentral:ncRNA from 1 species
UACAGACUGACCUAGCAGACAAGCCAAGACAGUAGAACUUAUUUCCCAGGAGGAAAUUAUG